rnacentral:rRNA from 1 species
CUACGGGACGCAGCAGUGGGGAAUAUUGCACAAUGGGGGAAACCCUGAUGCAGCCAUGCCGCGUGUGUGAAGAAGGCUUUCGGGUUGUAAAGCACUUUCAGCGAGGAGGAAAGGGUACAAGUUAAUACCUUGUAUCUGUGACGUUACUCGCAGAAGAAGCACCGGCUAACUCCGUGCCAGCAGCCGCGGUAAUACGGAGGGUGCGAGCGUUAAUCGGAAUUACUGGGCGUAAAGCGCGCGUAGGCGGUUAAUUAAGUCAGAUGUGAAAGCCCAGGGCUCAACCUUGGAACUGCAUUUGAACUGGUUAACUAGAGUUUUGUAGAGGGUGGUAGAAUUUCAGGUGUAGCGGUGAAAUGCGUAGAGAUCUGAAGGAAUACCAGUGGCGAAGGCGGCCACCUGGACAAAGACUGACGCUGAGGCGCGAAGGCGUGGGGAGCAAACGGGAUUAGAUACCCCAGUAGUC